rnacentral:lncRNA from 1 species
CUUCCCUCUUCUUUUCCCUCCCUUCUCUUCCCUUUCCUAGCUGUUGCUUGGUGGUGGUAGCUGCUGCUAUAGGAGAGUUCUUCAACAGAGUAACUCUUAACCCUCUUGUAUUUAAUCAAUUUCAAUUAAAAGUUAACUAUUGUAUGGUGGGAUGGUGAGAGAGGUGAAGAUAGUAAGUUGAAAACAUCGAGAAGAGGAAUGAUUUGAGAAGGGACUGUUGGAGAAGAUUGAGUGAUAGGAGAGAUGAGGAUGUUAAUAAUAAUAGAACC